rnacentral:lncRNA from 1 species
AGAGAGUAUAGCAUGUAAACAUUCCUUCUCAAUAAUAUGGUUGUAUUGGAAAGCUUUUCAUACAGAUUGACAACUCAUGGUCCGAUAUGCAUGUAAUAUUUGCCACAUGACGCCCAUAGUUCUUUCUACCAUCAUCAUCUUAUUCUUUGAUAUUGCUGUAAACAUCGAUGGUUCACACCCAAACAAAAUGGGAGUAAUGUACCUUCAGAGCUUCUCCGUGUUAUACACUUGUGAAACUUAAUAUAUAGACGAAAUUUCUGUAUUGAAAUGAAUCUACAUCUCACAAACAGGAUUUUCAAAUAACGAUUUUGAGUAAUCACCUUACAAACCAAUAUAAACGUAUGGCAAGAUAUAACCAUGAAGGAAUUUAGUUUUUGUCAGACGCAAGAACUCAUCACUAUCAUAAACGUAUACGUAUAUAUGCAUGCAGUUUCAAAUAUCAAGAACAAGCGGUCGAUGUCGAUAGUCCGUUUUCUAACUGUUCAGAGUUAGACAUGUCACUUGUUCAUUCUUGGAAGCCUUCAUAUUCCCCGUCCAACGAUGGGAACUCUUUCUGGUUGUGUUGACUAUAAAUGCUUGUAUGGUAAUUCUGUCGUUUAUCUGUACAAGUGGUUGCAUUUCCUCUCCUUUCCCAACAAACAAACUAACGAAACGCUACUAGUCUGCUUUCUCUGGAGCUCAUCCUCAAUGGCGCUUAUACGUCAGGAAACUUACAUGUAUACUAAUAAUGAUUGUUUCAAGAACAACGAUGUAUGGACGAACUAUUCUAAAUUCGUCAAUAUCAGUUAUGCAUGACUAAAAUAUAAGUUUUAUUACAACUACUGUAUUACUUAUUUGGAUUAAUGAUGGCUAUCAUGUUCAACAUUGCACAAAUAUUAUCAUAGAAUUAAAAAAAAAAAAAAAAUGUACAAAAAUCCUCAAAAAAAAUAAUGCCUUAGCUUAGAUAAUUGGUAUUCUUUUCACAAAAAGUUCGUGUAAAUGAUUGUCAAAUGAAUUUAAUUAUGUAAGAAUGAAAUGUUAAAAAGAAACUAAAAAAAA